CCCAUCAGCAGCAUUACUAUGCAAAACAACAGGCAGAAUAUAUCAUACAGCAGGCUGAUGCAGAUAAAGAUGGACGUCUCACCUUGGCAGAAAUGAUCGAUCAUCCUUACGUAUUUUACAGUGCCAUUUUCAACGAAGAUGAUGAGGACGAUUAUGAUUUCCACGAUGAGUUUCGUUAAGUUUUUUCAUGAAUAGUCGAAUAGUCAGAUAGGAUUAGCAGUAGAGAAAACGGAGUUCUUUCGCAGCAUGGAAUCGGGAUACAGAGUUUGAAGUCUUAGGCAACAACUUGGAGGAGAUCUCUCUGGCAUGGUGGUCAGAACUGGGUUAAACUUCUUCAGCCAUGGCUCGCCCAUAUGGUGGUAUCCCUCUUUUUGUAGCAUAUGAAACCCCCAUCUUGUCUAAGAUAACAAUGGUUUCACACCUUAGAUUAUAGACAUUUAUUUGCAAAUAGUUUUGUUAAGUUCAAUGUCCUUGGUAUAGAAUUACCAUUUAAUUGUUAUUUGUUACUAAUUUA